UAAGUAGGGUAAAUGAUCGCGGCUGUAUGAACAUACAGGUGAGGAAAGUCCGGGCUUCACAGGGCAGGAUGCCGGAUAACGUCCGGUAGAGGCGACUCUAAGGAUAGUGCAACAGAAAUAUACCGCCAGAUUUU
rnacentral:ncRNA from 2 species